rnacentral:rRNA from 1 species
ACGAAGGGAGCAAGCGUUGUUCGGAAUUACUGGGCGUAAAGGGCGCGUAGGCGGAUGCAUCAGUCAGGGGUGAAAGCCAUGGGCUCAACCUGUGAACUGCCUUUGAUACUGUGCAUCUAGAGUUUGUGAGAGGGUGGCGGAAUACCCAGUGUAGAGGUGAAAUUCGUAGAUAUUGGGUAGAACACCAGUGGCGAAGGCGGCCACCUGGCACAAUACUGACGCUGAGGCGCGAAAGCGUGGGGAGCAAACAGG